AUGAUGCAAAGAAUGGGCUGAAGGGAAGAAGGGGUGGAAGCAUGGGGGACUGACCCAGAAGGAGUUGCAACAGGACAGGAGAGGUGGUUGGGCUGGGCAGGGGCAAGGCCAUCAGGUCCAGUAAUGUGUGAUUUAACUGGUCUUCCGGGUGGAGUGCUAGUUAGUGUAGGAGCAUGUUAGAUACGCCCCACCCCAGAUCUACUGAAUCAGAAAAUGUUGGAGGAAUUGUGCGUAUAGGCUGCCAGGAGAGCAUAUGAGAGGAUGGCUGGUAACCUGGGUAUGGGGAAGUUUCGGGAGGAGGUGCCCCUGGGGUCUCCUCUGUGCGUGAAGAUGGAUGUCCGAUGGAAAGAGGACAUGAGAACACUAUUCAGAGCUGAGGAAACAGCGUGGCUGGCAUGCAGAGACAUGAACAGGAGCCUGCUGAAUGAUGACAUUCACUGGGACCACAAAAUGCAGAGCCACGUCUCAGGUGGAAGGGUUGGAAGAAAUUCAGUGUGAAAGUCUGGUCUCCCUGCACCGCCCCCCGCCCCCCCAGGACAGGUGGUGAGGAUCGGAUUAGAGACAGAGAGAGAGGAGGGGAUGUGCGUUCUCGGGACAGGGAGUAUGAUUCAGCCAAACACGUCGCAUGCUUCGACUUCUCUUGUUUGCCUGUGAAACUGAUGUGCUUCAUGCACUCUGCAGACAUCGCGGCGUCCAUCCGCCGUGCCAGGGCCUGUGCGAGCUGCUGGGGCAGAGCCAUGCGCCUUCACACACCAGCGCUGGCUGCGAGCUGUCAGGACAGGCACACACGGAACAUGUCAUUAACCACUGGCAUGUGCACUGGACUUGAAAGCCGGUGUACCUCGGGAUCGUGCUGUGAGGACACCGGGCUAACCCCUGUGUUUGCACUGCUACUCACUCCAACGAUUUUUAUGAAGUGCCAGCUAUGCCAUAGGCGGGGUUCUGGAUGCUGAGAACACAGCAAUUUUCCUGCCUUCAGUACAAUUUAGGGGAGAUGAGAACAGAGACGCCAAAGAACACCUACCAUCAGACAGACACAGAGGAUGCCCCUCCCUGGGCUCUCACUCACCCUCAGGAAGCAGGUGGCAUUGUACUCAGUUCACAGAUGCAGACACGGAGGCCAGGAGAUAUUACUAAGUGCAUCUGAAGUCACAUGGGCAACACCUUUGAACUGGACUUCAUUUUGGGAUAAAUCCAGAUCUGACUCUGAAGCCAAAGUUCUUAACCAGGCUGCACCAGGGCCACUGUCAAAGGAAAUAGACUUUCAUUUGUAGUCUAUUUCCCCCUGUCCCUCUUUUCCCCCCAUCUUCCCAUGAGACACGGUCAAGGGUGACAGAACGGGGUCUGAGGGCUGGGGUGGGGGUAGAACCCUGGGGUCACUUCCUGAGGCCACCCGGCCAUGCUCCUGCCCGUCCUGUCCCAGGAGGCCAGUCCUUCCCCCGCUUCAGUCCCAUUCUGAACGAGAUGGUCACACAGAAGUAAGUCACCGAGUCAGUAAAAUGUCCUCUCUGACACCAACACUGCUUUGGUGUGUUUUUUCCCUCCUCUUGUACUAACAAACGUGUUCAUGUAAAGACAAAAAAGAAAACCAAGCGAUCUGUCACAGUCACACCUUCUCUCCUGGCCUCCAUAAUGAAUGGUAGUGCUUAGAGUUAAUCAAUCACUCCCGUAACUGUCCUUGGGAUGCCUCGCUUGCAAAGGGCCCCAAGCCCAGGCCCUGGAGUUUGCUGCUCUCACAGACUGC